AACACCCUCAAAUUCAAAUUCAGAUUCAGGUUCAGGUUCAGGUUCUCUCUUCCUCUUCUCCACUGUUGAAACUUGGUCCCUAGCUGCCACAGCAUGGGUCUUAUCCCAUCAAACCAAACCCAUUACGACCUACUCUUCCUCCUCAAGCAAUUUCGAGAUUCAAGCGUUAGAACCACACACCACUGCCUUGGAGCUCUAUCUCCGACCACAGUUGGCUUCCUUUUUCUGAAACCAACUCCAAGAAUCUCAUCCUCCACCAACAAAAUCACACCAGAGCCACAACUUAGGAAACAUUAUACCAUAAACCCAUUAUUCUUAUUCUUGCUGACUGAGAGACGGUAGAAGAAAAGGCCCUUCAAAAUCCUUUCUGAAUGCAUUGAUGCAACGUGGUAAAUGCGGUGAGUAUACCUAGUCUGUCAUUUUGUAGCUGAUAGAUCUAUGAUUUAUUCAAUAUAUAGUUAGCUUUCUCUUGUCAUGAAUAUUGACUUUAAGCUGCAUAUUUUAACAACUCUGAUCUGUAGUUAUUGACUGCCUAGAAAUCUAUGUUUCUACUGUCUGCACAAUUGGUUUAUAUACUGUUAUUGGAAUUGAUUGUUUACAUGCUCACAAUGUAUAUAAUUUUCUUGCUUAAAAUAUGAAAAUCGGAUUAUAAUGUCUUGGUCAAUUGAAUUUAGUAAAAGCUAAUUAUCAUGAUUUUACAUUUUUUUCUCUAACCAGAGAAUCUACUUUCGUAUUCUGAAUCAAUAUAAGUGAGAGCUGAUGCAACAGUGCUUCUUAAGCAGUUGAAUUUUUCCUGGUUGUACUGUUUCUUAAAUUAGCAUAAUGGCAUUUUGCAUACUUGUUAGUUGUAUGCUUUCUAGAACACAACUUCAAAAGGAGAUAAUUUCAUUUAAAGGGGACAUUUUAUGAAAUGAUUUAAUUUUGAUUCCUGAGAAAUUAAAUUAGCAAAUCUAUGGUGAUUUUCAUCAAGUACCCAAAGCAGUAUGAAACGUGAAAGGAAAGAAAGACCUUGAGGCACAGCGAGAGAAACUAAAGUAUGCGACUGUGGUUCGUGUCUUGGCUCACACCCAGGUACAGGAAAUGAAGAUCCAAAGCAAUUUUGAAAUCAACUAUUGAAGAAUAUUAAUGGAGCUUUUAGACUAGGAAUUUUUACACAUCUAACGGGUGUAAAUGAGGCUAAUAAAAUUGUUCAUUGUAAAGAUUUUUAUAAUAGCAAGAUCUUUUUUUUUCUUAAUCUUAUUUAGGAGACAAAGAUUCGUUUAUAGUGAAUGUUGGAUUAUUAAUUUGGGUUGAAUAAAUUGUAUUUGAUUUUAUUAUUACAA